UUUCUGGGAAAUCUAAUUUUUCACACGUUUACAUACAGGGAAACAAGUCCCUUCGCAAAUUUAAUGGUAACUCAUUCUGUACAACCAUUAAGUAUCAAUCUCUCAAGUUUUGGGAGUUUGAGAAGUCUGGACUUGUAGUAAGGCUUCUAGAAUGACUAAGAUUGCGGAUUUUCAGUGCUGAAAGACGCUGUCAUCGGAAAAGUAUAUAUUAAAAGUUUAAAACCGGGCAACUGAAUAAAUGAUAUAUGUAUCAAAACCAAUUGUUCAAGAGAAACCACUGGUGCCAUACCUUGAAUCCUUCCAUACUCGCGUCAAGCUACUCCUCUGCAUAUCAAGACCAACCAGUCUCUGCGAAGACAAAUCAUUACAGCUCCACAUUCGAAAUGACAUCUAUUGCCAACAAACAUUGUAAUCUUCUAGUAAAUUCUCCAUAGCUUUGUGUGAGGCCUACAGUAUUGAGCUGAAGAAACUCUAGCUGCUGCAUCAUUGCAGAUACAUCAGUAUCUAAGUCCACGUCAUACGACUUUCUUCUCUAUCUAUUUGACUAUUUUUA
rnacentral:lncRNA from 1 species